CAGGUCUAAAACCAGGUCUAAACCAGGUCUAAAACCAGGAAGGACUAAACCAGGUCGAAAACCAGGUUUAAAACCAGGACUAAACCAGGUUUAAAACCAGGUCUAAACCAGGUCUAAAACCAGGUCUAAACCAGGUCUAAAACCAGAUCUAAAACCAGGUCUAAACCAGGUCUAAAACUAGGACUAAACCAGGUCUAAAACCAGGUCUAAACCAGGUCUAAACCAGGUCUAAAACCAGGUCUAAAACCAGGACCAUGUUUAAAAAUCGUUUAAGACCGAAAAAUCCUGUCGUGUGUGACGACCUUUACUUGCAAAUCCGAUAAUCGUAACAAUACCUGUAGUUUUUUUUGGUACUUUUUAUGAAGAUAUUUUCAAAAAGGACCUAACCUGGUGAUAUUAUUUUAGUUAAAAGUUGUUUAUUAGUUACUGGAGUCAAAAACUAGAACAAUAAAGUCAAACAUAAUCGCUAUUUUUGAGCAUUUAAAAGUCCAUUCUCUGCACUGUUUAUGCCUUUAACCUGACAACUGGGUCUACAGAAAACAAAAAUACUCACAUGUAGGAUUUAUACAACUUCUUUAUGGUUAGGUGAAGUACUUUUUUGCAGUGAUUGUCGAUAUUAUUGUGCAAUUUUUGAUACCGUUCGUUUCGUAGUUAGCUCUGCCUAGAACUGUGAUUGGCUUUUACCUGUUGUCCUGUGAAUUCUCAUAACUCUAGUCUCUGCACAGUAUAGCUCCAUGUUCGAAAAUACUUGCACCACAUCAACAACGCGCACAAAACCGGCCGAGGAACGCGGAAACGUGAGACGAAACGGAGGACGCUGGCUCGGGAAAACAAAUACAGAUGGAGUAGGUUGUGUUCACGGGAUUUUACAGCGAUAUAAAGUGCCCAAGUUUAAAGUUUAAAGCU